UACGUAGGGUGCAAGCGUUAAUCGGAAUUACUGGGCGUAAAGCGUGCGCAGGCGGUGAUGUAAGACAGAUGUGAAAUCCCCGGGCUCAACCUGGGACUGCGUUUGAAACUACAAGGCUAGAGUGUAGCAGAGGGGGGGUGGAAUUCCACGUGUAGCAGUGAAAUGCGUAGAGAUGUGGAGGAACACCGAUGGCGAAGGCAGCCCCCCUGGGUUAACACUGACGCUCAGGCACGAAAGCGUGGGGAGCAAACAGG
rnacentral:rRNA from 1 species